rnacentral:rRNA from 1 species
AGGUAUCAUGGAGGGUGAGAAUCCCGUGUAUACCAACCACUGGAACGUUAUUAAUACGAUUUCUAAGAGUCGAGUUGUUUGGGAAUGCAGCUCUAAAUGGGUGGUAAAUUUCACCUAAUGCUAAAUAUAAGCGAGAGACCGAUAGUGAACAAGUACCGUGAGGGAAAGAUGAAAAGAACUUUGAAAAGAGAGUUAAAUAGUACGUGAAAUUGUUGAAAGGGAAACGGUUGAAGUCAGUCAUACCGGUGGGAAUCAACUUAGGGGAAACUCUAAGUGCAUUUCUUUCGCUUGGUAAGGUUAGCGUCGAUUUUGGAUGUCAUAAAAUGACUGGGGGAAGGUAGCCCCCUUCGGGAGUGGUAAGCCCUUAGUAGAUGUGAUG